rnacentral:rRNA from 1 species
GUAGGUGGCAAGCGUUGUCCGGAAUUAUUGGGCGUAAAGCGCGCGCAGGCGGGUCCUUUAAGUCUGAUGUGAAAGCCCACGGGCUCAACCGUGGAGGGUCAUUGGAAACUGGGGGACUGGAGUACAGAAGAGGAAAGCGGAAUUCCAAGUGUAGCGGUGAAAUGCGUAGAGAUUUGGAGGAACACCAGUGGCGAAGGCGGCUUUCUGGUCUGUAACUGACGCUGAGGCGCGAAAGCGUGGGGAGCAAACAGGAUUAGAUACCCUGGUAGUCCACGCCGUAAACGAUGAGUGCUAAGUGUUAGUGGGUUUCCGCCCCUUAGUGCUGCAGCUAACGCAUUAAGCACUCCGCCUGGGGAGUACGGCCGCAAGGCUG